rnacentral:rRNA from 1 species
GAUGAACGCUAGCGGCAGGCUUAAUACAUGCAAGUCGAACGGACCAGCAAUGGUUAGUGGCGCACGGGUGAGUAACGCGUACACAAUUUGCCUUUUAGUGGGGGAUAGCCCUGGGAAACUGGGAGUAAUACCGCAUACGAUCAUUGGGUGGCAUCACCUGGUGAUGAAAGCAGCGAUGUGCUAAAAGAUGAGUGUGCGUCUGAUUAGGUAGUUGGUGAGGUAACGGCUCACCAAGCCGACGAUCAGUAGGGGGCGUGAGAGCGUGGCCCCCCACACGGGUACUGAGACACGGACCCGACUCCUACGGGAGGCAGCAGUAGGGAAUAUUGGGCAAUGGACGCAAGUCUGACCCAGCCAUGCCGCGUGAAGGAUAAGGCCCUAUGGGUUGUAAACUUCUUUUAUCAGGGAAGAAAAUCAGGAUUUCGCAUUCUGACUGACGGUACCUGAGGAAUAAGCACCGGCUAACUCCGUG